rnacentral:rRNA from 1 species
CUCCACGGCCACGCCACCCCGAACACGCCCGAUCCCGUCUGACCUCGCAAGCUAAGCAGGGUCGGGCCUGGUUAGUACUUGGAUGGAAGACCACCUCAGAAGACCGGGUGCUGUAGGCG